rnacentral:rRNA from 1 species
AGUGGCGGACGGGUGAGUAACGCGUGAGAAUCUGCCUUGGGGUCGGGGACAACCACUGGAAACGGUGGCUAAUACCGGAUAAGCCGAUUGGUGAAAGAUUUAUUGCCCGAAGAGGAGCUCGCGUCUGAUUAGCUAGUUGGUGAGGUAAGAGCUCACCAAGGCAGCGAUCAGUAGCUGGUCUGAGAGGAGGAUCAGCCACACUGGGACUGAGACACGGCCCAGACUCCUACGGGAGGCAGCAGUGGGGAAUUUUCCGCAAUGGGCGAAAGCCUGACGGAGCAAGACCGCGUGAGGGAGGAAGGCUCUUGGGUUGUAAACCUCUUUUCUCAGGGAAGAAGCUCUGACGGUACCUGAGGAAUCAGCCUCGGCUAACUCCGUGCCAGCAGCCGCGGUAAUACGGAGGAGGCAAGCGUUAUCCGGAAUUAUUGGGCGUAAAGCGUCCGCAGGUGGCGAUUCAAGUCUGCUGUCAAAGCACGGGGCUUAACUCCGUAAAGGCAGUGGAAACUGAAUAGCUAGAGUGCCGUAGGGGUAGAGGGAAUUCCCGGUGUAGCGGUGAAAUGCGUAGAGAUCGGGAAGAACAUCGGUGGCGAAAGCGCUCUACUGGACGGCAACUGACACUCAGGGACGAAAGCUAGGGGAGCGAAUGGGAUUAGAUACCCC